rnacentral:rRNA from 1 species
GAUGAACGCUGGCGGCGUGCCUAAUACAUGCAAGUCGAGCGAACGGACGAGAAGCUUGCUUCUCUGAUGUUAGCGGCGGACGGGUGAGUAACACGUGGAUAACCUACCUAUAAGACUGGGAUAACUUCGGGAAACCGGAGCUAAUACCGGAUGAUAUUUUGAACCGCAUGGUUCAAAAGUGAUAGACGGUCUUGCUGUCACUUAUAGAUGGAUCCGCGCUGCGUUAGCUAGUUGGUAAGGUAACGGCUUACCAAGGCAACGAUGCAUAGCCGACCUGAGAGGGUGAUCGGCCACACUGGAACUGAGACACGGUCCAGACUCCUACGGGAGGCAGCAGUAGGGAAUCUUCCGCAAUGGGCGAAAGCCUGACGGAGCAACGCCGCGUGAGUGAUGAAGGUCUUCGGAUCGUAAAACUCUGUUAUUAGGGAAGAACAUAUGUGUAAGUAACUGUGCACAUCUUGACGGUACCUAAUCAGAAAGCCACGGCUAACUACGUG